CAGAGAAUAGUUUAAUAUAAAAUAUUAAUUUUGGAGAUUAAUGAAAAAGGUAAUUCUUUUUCUCUGA
rnacentral:tRNA from 1 species